UCCGGCCACGCUCGGGUUCGGUCGCUGUCGUGUUGCCGGCCGUUGGGCUCCGGCAGCUGUUUAAAUUUGAACCGACUCCGGCCUGCGUUGUGUGGGAUGACAAAGUGUGUUGCUGGUUCUGUGUUCAUUGAAAGUCGUUGAUGAUGACGGUGUUGCAGGAACCUGUUCAGGCUGCUAUUUGGCAUGCACUUAACCACUAUGCUUAUCGGGAUGCGGUCUUCCUUGCAGAAAGACUCUAUGCUGAAGUUUGUUCUGAAGAAGCUCUAUUUCUCUUGGCAACCUGUUACUAUCGCUCAGGGAAAGCAUACAAAGCCUACCGGCUUUUGAAAACUCAUAGCUGUACUACUCCUCAGUGCAAGUACCUUCUUGCCAGAUGUUGUAUGGAUAUCAGCAAACCAGCAGAGGGAGAACAGAUUUUAGCUGGUGGAAUACUGAACAAACAGAAAAGCCAUGAUGAUAUUAUUACGGAGUUUGGAGAUUCAGCUUGUUUUACAUUGUCUUUAUUAGGACAUAUAUACUGUAAAACAGAUCGAAUGGCCAAAGGAGCAGACUGUUACCAAAAAAGCCUUAGUCUAAAUCCCUUUCUUUGGUCCCCUUUCGAAUCGUUAUGUGAAAUAGGUGAAAAACCAGAUCCUGAUCAGACAUUUAAAUUGACAUCUCUCCAGAAUUUUAGUAGUUAUCAGCCAAGUUUAUGUAUGCCUUUGUCUUUGAAUCAUGGUGUCCAACAUAACAGGCAACCUGACACUGUCCUGAUGGAAACACCACAAGACACUAUUGAGUUAAACAGAUUAAAUCUUGAAUCUUCAGCCAACUCAAAAUAUUCCUCAAUGAUGACUGAUUCUUCAGCAUCAUUAAUUGACACAUCUGUGAUUUCUCCUGAUGCUCUACCACUUGGUUCUGGAACAUCAGUUUUAUCCAAACAACAAGUAAACAAGCCAAAGUCUGGAAGGAGCUUGCUUGGUGGUCCUGGAACUCUAAGCCCCUUAACACCAAGCUUUGGAGUUUUGCCCUUGGAUACCCCAAGCCCAGGUGAUGGGUCCUUUUUGCCAAACUAUACAAAUUCUUCUGUAAUUGAUUCAUCCUCCACAGUGGCUCCCACAAAAAAGUCUGUAGCCAGAAUAAUGCAAGGUGGAACCAAGUCUGUAUUUGCACAGAGUGGAAACAGCCGUGAUGUAACUCCAAUUCCUCUGACUCAGACGCAGACUUCAGGCCCACAGACCAGUGCAGCGCAGGUACUAUUUCCAACAAGCACAGCCCCUACAAAUGCACCACCCCGCCGAAGUUCCAGGCUCUUUACAAGUGCCAGUUCAACUACAAAGGAGAAUAGUAAAAAGCUGAAGAUGAAGUUUCCAACUAAAAUUCCCAACAGAAAGCCAAAAAACAAAACCAGUAAAGGAGGUAUAACACAGCCAAACCUCAACGACAGCUUGGAAAUCAGUAAGCUUGACUCGGUGAUCCCUGAAGGCAAAAUCUCCUCAGUCACACCUCAAAUGCAGGCCUUCAAUAUACAAAAAGCAGCUGCAGAUGGACUGAUGAACCUUCUGCGUGAGAUGGGGAAAGGAUAUUUGGCACUUUGUUCUUACAGCUGUAAGGAAGCAAUUGGUAUCCUGAGUCAGUUGCCUUCACAUCACUACAACACUGGUUGGGUACUGUGUCAAAUAGGAAGAGCACAUUUUGAGCUGGCUGAAUACAUGCAGGCAGAGAGGAUAUUUUCAGAAGUGAGGCGUAUUGAAAGCUAUCGAGUGGAAGGUAUGGAGAUUUAUUCCACCACAUUGUGGCACCUGCAGAAGGAUGUCUCGCUUUCCCUUCUUUCCAAGGAUCUCACAGAAAUGGAUAAAAAUACACCAGAGGCUUGGUGUGCAGCAGGGAACUGCUUCAGCUUGCAGCGAGAGCAUGAUAUAGCAAUCAAGUUCUUCCAGAGAGCCAUUCAAGUAGAUCCAAACUUUGCUUAUGCAUACACUUUGCUUGGUCACGAGUUUGUAUUAACAGAAGAGUUGGACAAAGCUUUGGCCUGUUUUCGAAAUGCAAUUCGUGUAAACUCUCAGCACUAUAAUGCCUGGUAUGGUUUGGGGAUGAUCUACUAUAAGCAAGAGAAGUUCAAUCUAGCAGAAAUUCAUUUCCGAAAGGCUCUCAAUAUCAACCCCCAAAGUUCUGUGUUACUAUGCCACAUUGGUGUGGUCCAGCAUGCGUUAAAGAAAUCAGAGAGUGCACUUGAAACACUAAAUAAAGCCAUAAGUAUAGAUCCCAAAAAUCCCCUAUGCAAAUUCCACCGAGCCUCCAUUUUGUUUGCAAAUGAGAAGUACAAGGCAGCUUUGCAGGAGCUUGAAGAACUGAAGCAAAUUGUUCCCAAAGAGUCACUUGUAUACUUUCUAAUAGGAAAGGUUUAUAAGAAAUUAGGGCAGACGCACUUGGCUCUGAUGAAUUUCUCCUGGGCCAUGGACCUUGAUCCAAAAGGAGCCAACAACCAGAUCAAAGAGGCUAUUGACAAACGUUACUUACCAGAUGAUGAGGAGCCUGUAACAAAUGAUGGGCAACAUAGUGAGGGUUAUCAGUAUGACACAGCUGGAACUGAUGAGUCCCAGGAAAGCAGCAUGACUGAUGCUGAUGACACCCAGUUACAUGCGGCGGAAAGUGAUGAGAGCUUCAAUCUGUAAAUGCUAACCCAACCAAAACAUGGCUCCAGAGCAAGAGCUGCUACUCCCUGGCCAUUCCCUUUCUUCUCUCUCACUAGCAAGACCAAGGAGCUGAUUAUUGUCUUCAGGAGGAGGAAACCAAAGGUCCAUGAGCCAGUCUUCAUCAGAGGAUCAGAGAUGGAGAGGAUCAGCAACUUUAAAUUCCUCGGUGUUAUCAUUUCAGAGGACCUGUCCUGGGCCCAGCACACAAGUGAAACUAUGAAGAAAGCACAGCAGCACCUCUAAUUCCUAGGGAAUUUGUGAAGAUUCAGCAUGUCAUCUAAAACUUUGACAAACUUCUAUAGAUAUGUGGAAGAGAGUAUAUUGAUUGGCUGCAUCACAACCUGGUAUGGAAACACCAAUACCCUUGAACAGAAAAUCUUGCAAAAAGCAAUGGUUAUGGCUCAGUUAUUACGGGUAAAGGCCUCCCCAUUAUUGAGCACAUCUACAUGAAGCAUUGUCACAGAAAAGCAGCAUCUAUCAUCAGGAACUCCCCACCAUCCAGGCCAGGCUCUCUUCUUGCUGCUGCCAUCAGGAAAGUGGUACAGGAGCCUGAGGACUCACCACCAGGUUCAGGAACAGUUAUUACCCCUCAACCAUCAGGCUCUUGAACCAGAGGAAAUAACUUCACUCAACUUUACUUGCCUCAUCACUGAACUGUUCCCACAAUGUGUGGGCACACUUUCAAGGACUCAUCUCGUGUUCUCAAAAUGUAUUGCUUAUUUAUUUAUUAUUAUUGUUUCUUUCUUUUUGUAUUUGCAGUUUAUUGUCUUUUGCAGAUUGAUUGAUUGUAUGCCUGUUGGUGUGGUCUUUCAUUGAUUCUAUUAUGGUUAAUUGGAUUUGUUGAGCAAGAAAAGAAUCGCAGGGUUGUAUAUGGUGUCAUAUAUGUACUAAUAAAUUUGCAUUGAAUCUUGAACUUAAAGUUUCAAAGGGAUCUUCAUGUUUCCCAAGUCUGCUAUUUUGUCCCCACCACUUCUCAUCUUCUGACACCUUUCCCUGAAACUGCAGAAGAUGCAGUACCUCUUCCCUUCCUGGUGUACUGCUAAUGUGUUUAGUGUGGUCUCCUCAGCAUCGGAGAAACCAAACAUAGAAUGGGUAGUUGUGGAGCACAUAUGCGGGCUGCAGGGGUGUCUCAGAGCCAUUUUAAUAUUCUGUCCCACUCCCACUUUGUCUGUGGUGUCCUACUCUGCUACAAGAGGCACAAUGUAAACUUGAGGACUAUUGUCUGUCUGGGCUGCAGAUUUAGUUAUUGAACUGAUGGAGCUCACAUACUCAAACUUUCUCCAGCUGCAUCAGUCCUACCAUUACUGCCAUAAGUCACUGCUUUUAUCUGACUUUUACUUUCCUCAUUAGCACAGCCUCGCUUGUCCAGAAUGUCCUACAGCCCUGCACUUCACAACCAGGCUGGUUUGCACUGUCAUGCUUUGAUUGUCCUCAGUGGCCAAGGGAAACUCCGCAAUUCAACCCAACAAUAACCCUGAUGUUGUCUGAUCAGAAAUGUUUCCUCCAUCCCAUUCAUUCCUUGUCACUUUCCCACUUCUGAUUAAGUUCGGUUAGUUCAGUUUUUCACUCUCUCUCUCUCCUUUCCAUCUCUCCCAGAUGCCGCUUGUCUUACUGUGUGCUUCUGGUAUACCCUCUUUUAAUUCCAUAGUUUGGGCACCUGCAUUGUUUUUAAAUUUUCUCAGUAAUAGCCUCUGGACUCAGCUCUAGGUUCAGGAACACUUAAUACCCCUGAAGCACCAGGCUCUUGAACAAAAGGGGAUAACUUCACUCAACUUCACUUGCCCCAUCACUGGCAUGUUCCCACACUCUAUGAACUUGCUUUCAAAGGCUAGUCUCAUGUUCUCAAUAUUUAUUGCUUAUUUAUUUCUUGUUGUUAUUUCUUUCUUUUUGUAUUUGCUCAAUUUGUUGUCUUUUGCGUUCUGUUUGAAUGCUCAAGUUGGUGUGGUCUUUUGUAAUUUUAUGAUGGUUAUUAUUCUAUUAUGAAUUUAUUGAGUAUGUCCACAAGAAAAUGAAUCUCAGGGUUAUAUAUGGUGGCGUAUAUGUACUUUGAUAAUAAAUUUACUUUGAA